UACAGAGGAUGCAAGCGUUAUCCGGAAUGAUUGGGCGUAAAGCGUCUGUAGGUGGCUUUUUAAGUCCGCCGUCAAAUCCCAGGGCUCAACUCUGGACAGGCGGUGGAAACUACCAAGCUGGAGUACGGUAGGGGCAGAGGGAAUUUCCGGUGGAGCGGUGAAAUGCGUUGAUAUCGUUAGGAACUCCGGUGGCGAAAGCGGCGUGCUGGACCUUUUCUGACGCUGAGGCGCGAAAGCUAGGGGAGCAAACGGG
rnacentral:rRNA from 1 species